CUGUGAGUUGAGCCUCUCUGACCCCCUGAACGGUUCACACUAUAAGUACACGGGCUCUCUGCCAGACGGGCAGCAGAUCAUUCUGUCGUCUGUUUGCUGCUGCAGCUCAUCGCAUCUCGUCUCAUCUCAUCUCAGAACCCACACAGCUACAAUGUUCCUGGCUCCUUUGCUCCUGUUCUUAGGAGCGGUUGGUGGCCCUGCGCUGAUGGCCAGUACAGGAGCGUCCACAGGUGUGGUUCUUGCGACUACCGCUGGAGCUGCUGGAGCUGCUGGAGCUGCGGCUGCCACUGGAGCUGUGGCUACCACUGGAGCUGGGGCGACUGUUGCUCAAGUGUUAACCACUGUGGCUGCCAUCGUGUUUUGAAUAAAUCAUGGCUCCUUUUGUCGAAAUUGACAAUCCUGUUGCACAAUGUUAUUGAAAUCUGCAAUGACAUCUCAGUGUUUCAGUGUGGUGGAAAUUUCUAUUGAGUGCAUGCUUAACUGUUUUGCAGUGCUUAGAUUUAUUUGUUAUAAAUACCCGUAGCUCUCACACACUCAGAUGUGUGGCGAACCGC